rnacentral:rRNA from 1 species
AGAGUGAACGCUGGCGGCAGGCCUAACACAUGCAAGUCGAACGGCAGCACAGGGGAGCUUGCUCCCUGGGUGGCGAGUGGCGGACGGGUGAGGAAUGCGUCGGAAUCUGCCUUUUCGUGGGGGAUAACGUAGGGAAACUUACGCUAAUACCGCAUGCGACCCUGUUCCGGGAGGUUCAGGGUGAAAGCGGGGGACCUUCGGGCCUCGCGCGGAAAGAUGAGCCGACGCCGGAUUAGCUAGUGGCGGGUAACGGCCCACCAAGGCGACGAUCCGUAGCUGGUCUGAGAGGAUGAUCAGCCACACUGGAACUGAGACACGGUCCAGACUCCUACGGAGGCAGCAGUGGGGAAUAUUGGACAAUGGGCGCAAGCCUGAUCCAGCCAUGCCGCGUGAGUGAAGAAGGCCUUCGGUUGUAAAGCUUCGUUUUUAGUUAGGGAAAGAAAAGUCUUUACGGUUAAGUAACCGGUAGUUACGUAGAACGGUAACCAAAGAAGUAAAGCAACCGGCUAACUCGACGCC